GACAGCAGUAGCCGCGGGAAAACGGAGGGUGCAAGCGUUACUCGGAAUCACUGGGCGUAAAGGACGCGUAGGCGGAUUAUCAAGUCUCUUGUGAAAUCUAACGACUCAACCGUUAAACUGCUUGGGAAACUGAUAAUCUAGAGUAAGGGAGAGGCAGAUGGAAUUCUUGGUGUAGGGGUAAAAUCCGUAGAUAUCAAGAAGAAUACCUAUUGCGAAGGCGAUCUGCUGGAACUUAACUGACGCUAAUGCGUGAAAGCGUGGGGAGCAAACAGGAUUAGAUACCCCCGUAGUCCCUGUCUCUUAUAC
rnacentral:rRNA from 1 species